CCUCCUGGUGCUUCGGAGCUCAUGAACUGUUUAAUAAUUGGAAACAAAGCCGCCAAAGAUUGACAAAAGAUGUACAAGUUCGUAAGUGCUUGCGUAACUGCUUCGUGAAUCUGGCCCCAGGUGGUUGAGAUGGUUCUGGUCACCUCCAGACAGCUUCCAGGCAGUCUGGAGGCGAACGGGUCACCACUCGGUUUUAUUACUACAGGUACUGUCGCAAGCCCAGCCCGUAGCAUCUUACAUACUCCAUGCAAGAUGCAUGGGGGUAUACAAUCUUGCCUCCAUACUUCUUGCAUCUUCCAUACAUAGCAUUUUGCCUCCCAUACAACUACUUUGUCUCUCUACUGCAUAAUACUUCUUGGUCCCACGAGGUUAUUUUACUACUUGGCCCAACUACCCCAUGCUGCUUCUUGUCUCCUCUUCUGCAUAGACUACUACUCUGUAUCUUGUGUUUACCUUAUGUUGGUUUCAGGGAUCACUGGCCUUAUCUCUGACCAGGCCUCCUAGUUGUGAUCUGGUUCAACCAGUCUAUUAGAUAAGCAUUAGACAUAUUGCCGGAACAACAGUGGACAUCUUCAACCAGGUGGAGGGAAGCAACAGGGUAUGGGAACCAGGUGGAGGGAAGCAAUAGGGUAUGGGAACCAGGUGGAGGGAAGCAACAGGGUAUGGGAACCAGGUGGAGGGAAGCAACAGGGUAUGGGAACUAGGUGGAGGGAAGUAGCAUAACAAUGUAAGAGAGGGAAAAGGAUUGGCAACAAGGUAAGGGUGUAGAGUGGAACCUCUUGUUAAGUCGCACACUUUAAUGAGGAUGCUGCCUUAUCUCCUCAGCCUGAUAACAUGAGUUCUUACUGUUUUUCUUCUGUAUGGAACUAUAGAACAGCUGUGGCUGGUUCAUUUUACAAGUUAGAUGACCUCUAACCACCUCUAAAUUGAGGUGGUUAGAUGACUGAUGACAGCAAGCAAUAUGUCACACUGUAAUACAACCUAAGCUAUG